AGCGAACGCUGGCGGCAGGCUUAACACAUGCAAGUCGAACGGGCAUAGCAAUAUGUCAGUGGCAGACGGGUGAGUAACGCGUGGGAACGUACCUUUUGGUUCGGAACAACACAGGGAAACUUGUGCUAAUACCGGAUAAGCCCUUACGGGGAAAGAUUUAUCGCCGAAAGAUCGGCCCGCGUCUGAUUAGCUAGUUGGUAGGGUAAUGGCCUACCAAGGCGACGAUCAGUAGCUGGUCUGAGAGGAUGAUCAGCCACAUUAGGACUGAGACACGGCCCAAACUCCUACGGGAGGCAGCAGUGGGGAAUAUUGGACAAUGGGCGAAAGCCUGAUCCAGCCAUGCCGCGUGAGUGAUGAAGGCCCUAGGGUUGUAAAGCUCUUUUGUGCGGGAAGAUAAUGACGGUACCGCAAGAAUAAGCCCCGGCUAACUUCGUG
rnacentral:rRNA from 1 species